rnacentral:rRNA from 1 species
UACGUAGGGGGCGAGCGUUGUCCGGAUUUAUUGGGCGUAAAGAGCGUGUAGGCGGCCAGGUAGGUCUGCUGUGAAAACUCGAGGCUCAACCUCGAGACGUCGGCGGAAACCAUCUGGCUAGAGUCCGGAAGAGGAGAGUGGAAUUCCUGGUGUAGCGGUGAAAUGCGCAGAUAUCAGGAAGAACACCAGUGGCGAAGGCGGGGCUCUGGGCCGGUACUGACGCUGAGGAGCGAAAGCGUGGGUAGCAAACAGG